AUAUCCUGUUUUAAACAUGUAUCCGAUUGCAUUGAUUUCAUUGUCCUGUUCCUUCUUGGUAAUGCUUAUAUGCUUGAGACCGUGCAAGGUGAUUGUCCUCUUCCUGCUGCAUACAAACCAUUGUGCCCCUCUCUCCUGGGAUGGGAGAUGUUUUUGUUUUUGGAGCUCUUUCACACAAACUCUCCCUCUUUUCUCUUUCCUUUUUAUUUUUUUAUUUUAACACAAUGGCCCUCUCUCCUCUCACCCAGCGUGGCAACGCUUUCAAACGGGGAAGCUCCAGGUCAGUUUCCCUUGCCAAGUUUUGCAGGCUGCCAUGUUGUCUAUUCUGCUCAGCUAUUUAAAAAAUGUUGAAUAUCAACAAUGGCUUUCACUGGUGCAUUGUCAACUUUUGUAUGAAGCAAUCUUGGCUGAAUGAGAUGGGUCCCAGAGCAGGGAGAGCUCAGCUGCAGUGUGCACCGCCACACCACUGACUGCCUGGCUCUUUUGGCUCUAUUAUAUAUUUCUCUGCAGCACUGGGAGCUGCUGCUUCUCCUGUCUGAAUGGCCGUGUUCGGGCCCAGGCUCUGGGCUGUGGAUGUCUCUGCUAUCUUCCAGCGCAUGGUGCUGCUCCUGGGCCUGCUGUAAGCCAGCUGUUGAGGGUGUGUCUCACAGAGGGGGAUCUGGAAGCAGCCGCAGGACCAGUCAGAUGGUUUGAGUGACGGUCCCUUCACCUAUAAGAACACAACACGGACAUCUCUACUGCCUCCGAAGGAGCCACAGCAAGACUUGAUCAUCAUGUGACAAAAGGCUGGCUGGGCCCCCCUGCCAUCGGUUCUCCAUCCAUCCACAGUCCACAGGUUUGGGCCUGAAAGACGUGCCAGACCUGCUGCCAAAGCAUCAGCCUCCACCUCACCCUGCAGACAUGGCUGAAAACACACACACACGCACACACGCAUGCAUAUACACACACACACACACACUGACGCACUAACAAAGUGCAUCCUCCAUACAUGUUAUCAAGCAUUUGAGCAUACUUUUUAUUUGCUUACAUUUCCAAAUAUCCACCAUGCACUUGUGCCCGAGACCCUCUCCUGUUCACACACAUUCUUGCCAUCUCCACACUAUCUCCACCUGUGUCACACACUCUUCAUUCCUCGUGUCAGACCUAGACACAAUCGAGCCGUGUUCACACGCUCUACCUCGACAAAAACAUAAACACACACAUGCGUAUGGUUUGUCAGUUGUCUGUCAAGCAUGCCCUAUUUUUAAAACUGUGCACACACCUACACACAUUCUCCCAUGCUUGGGCACACCCACUGUGGCCCGUGUCUUGCUGUCCUUGUCUCACAGAACAACCUUCUCUGCAGUGGUAAGAAGGGGGAAAUUAGUCAGGUGGAGUAAAUCUCGACAUCUGACACUAGUGGGCUCUCUUUAAACUUGUUUGCACCACCGCCUCCAUACUAAAUGGUACGGCACCUACUGAUUAUUGCAUGUUCUGAACUAGUCGGGUAAUUGCACAGUACAUACCUGUCCAGGGUGUAAGCCCAUCCGCUGAACACGGGGCCCCUCUGCUAGAUCUGCUCACGGUAUUGUCGUAACUGAGAGAGAGGGAGCCUCCUGUCUGUCAUUCAGUAUCAAUCAUUUUCAGCAUGAAUCCACACUCUGUGAUGCAUAUUUCCCACAGUCAUGAAGGUCAAUUUGUAGAAAGGUGUACCAGUUCACAUUUGAACUGUUUCAUUAUGAAAAGGUUCAAUUAAAAAUUAACGCCAGACGUACAAAAUGAAACACACAGAAGAGAAUCACCCCUUCAAAAGUUAAGUCAUGAUGGUUUUUUCGACAGUCAUCUGGCAUAUGAAUCAGUGCUUAGUGUUUAAUCCUGUGGUUAUUUUCAUAGCAUCUGAAUGAGUCACACUCGGUGUGCAUGUUUGGUUCAGGGUGACGUUUGUUGUAGUACAGUUUGUAGUGUGUAACCACAAAAACACAGCCAAUAUCGCAUCAGAGGAUCAUUUUGUAGUUCUUACAAUCAGGUUGUUUUGGCAAUGAUAGGCUUGAUCUUAACUUGAAAUCAGAGACACCUCUUAUCACUUUAAGAUUGAAUCAGGAAGCAUUUAUGUCUCCUUUGAUCGUCAAAUAGCUGCAAAUCAUUUUUAAAACUCCCACGCGUCGUCGUCAGCUUAUCACCGAAUUAAGUAUUUGACUUUUAUGUAACCAUUAUGAGCAAAUUCACAAAGACAAACUCAGACUGUGUUUUAACCGGAAGAAGUAGGAAAAGAAGAUUAUUCAACAGAGAUCUAGCUCUCUUAUUUUGCAUUAUUUACUGGCUCACUCCUGGUAGUAGCAAACUGGAAUGAGGAGUGUCCACAGAAGUUUGUCACACAAGCUCCGUCUGAGAACACACAGAGUACAUUGCGGACAAAUUCAACCAUGUGAACAUUCAUACGGUACAUUUAAAGUCAAACCAGGACAACAUGCCUAUCCCAUCAUGCUAGAAAUGCAGGUCAACAACAUAUAUUUAUCUGUGUUGUUAAUUGCUUUUUAAAAUUUGACAGUUACAUUUGCAUAUAUAUAUAUAUACAUUCAUUUAUUUAUUUAUUUAUUUACAAAACAUGUAGACC